UAAAACCNGACAUGAAAGGCAAUGCUCA
rnacentral:piRNA from 1 species